GCCAGGCGUUGUGGUGCGCGCCUGUAGUCCCAGCUCCUUGGGAGGCUGAGGUAGGAGGAUUUCUUGAGCCUAGGAGGUUGAGGCUGCAGUGAGCCAUGAUCUUGCCACUGCACUCCAGCCUAAGCAACAGAGUGAGACCUUAUCUCAA
rnacentral:SRP_RNA from 1 species